UCGAACGGCAGCACGGACUUCGGUCUGAUGGCGAGUGGCGAACGGGUGAGUAACAUAUCGGAACGUAUCCAGUAAUGGGGGAUAACUAAUCGAAAGGUUGGCUAAUACCGCAUACGCCCUACGGGGGAAAGCUAGGGACCUUCGGGCCUGGCGUUAAUGGAGCGGCCGAUAUCUGAUUAGCUAGUUGGUGGGGUAAAAGCCCACCAAGGCGACGAUCAGUAGCUGGUCUGAGAGGACGACCAGCCACACUGGAACUGAGACACGGUCCAGACUCCUACGGGAGGCAGCAGUGGGGAAUUUUGGACAAUGGGCGCAAGCCUGAUCCAGCCAUUCCGCGUGAGUGAAGAAGGCCUUCGGGUUGUAAAGCUCUUUCGCAAGGGAAGAAAACUUAGCCACUAACAUUGGCUGAGGUUGACGGUACCUUGAUAAGAAGCACCGGCUAACUACGUGCCAGCAGCCGCGGUAAUACGUAGGGUGCGAGCGUUAAUCGGAAUUACUGGGCGUAAAGCGUGCGCAGGCGGUUUUGUAAGUCAGAUGUGAAAUCCCCGAGCUCAACUUGGGAACUGCGUUUGAAACUACAAGACUAGAAUAUGUCAGAGGGGGGUAGAAUUCCACGUGUAGCAGUGAAAUGCGUAGAGAUGUGGAGGAAUACCAAUGGCGAAGGCAGCCCCCUGGGAUAAUAUUGACGCUCAUGCACGAAAGCGUGGGGAGCAAACAGGAUUAGAUACCCUGGUA
rnacentral:rRNA from 1 species